CCUACGGGACGCAGCAGUGAGGAAUAUUGGUCAAUGGGCGCGAGCCUGAACCAGCCAAGUAGCGUGAAGGAUGACUGCCCUACGGGUUGUAAACUUCUUUUAUAAAGGAAUAAAGUGAGGCACGUGUGCCUUUUUGUAUGUACUUUAUGAAUAAGGAUUGGCUAACUCCGUGCCAGCAGCCGCGGUAAUACGGAGGAUCCGAGCGUUAUCCGGAUUUAUUGGGUUUAACGGGAGCGUAGAUGGGUUGUUAAGUCAGUUGUGAAAGUUUGCGGCUCAACCGUAAAAUUGCAAUUGAUACUGGCAGUCUUGAGUACAGUUGAGGUAGGCGGAAUUCGUGGUGUAGCGGUGAAAUGCUUAGAUAUCACGAAGAACUCCGAUUGCGAAGGCAGCUUACUAAACUGCCACUGACAUUGAUGCUCGAAAGUGUGGGGAGCAAACAGGAGUAGAUACCCCUGUAGUC
rnacentral:rRNA from 1 species